rnacentral:rRNA from 1 species
AACGAACGCUGGCGGCGUGCCUAACACAUGCAAGUCGCGCGAGAAAGGGGCUUCGGCUCCGAGUAAAGCGGCGCACGGGUGCGUAACACGUGGAUAAUCUGCCUUCGGGUCCGGGAUAGCCUUCCGAAAGGAGGGCUAAUACCGAAUAAGCCCACGGGAGCCUUGGCUCCUGAGGGAAAAGCUGGCCUCUGUUUACAAGCUAGCGCCGGAAGAUGAGUCCGCGGCCCAUCAGCUAGUUGGCGGGGUAAUGGCCCACCAAGGCAACGACGGGUAGCUGGUCUGAGAGGACGAUCAGCCACACUGGAACUGAGACACGGUCCAGACUCCUACGGGAGGCAGCAGUGGGGAAUCUUGCGCAAUGGGCGAAAGCCUGACGCAGCAACGCCGCGUGAGUGAUGAAGGUCUUCGGAUCGCAAAGCUCUUUCGGCGGGGAAGAACGGCCGAGGGCGUGAACAAUGCCUUGGUGUGACGGUACCUGCAGAAGAAGC